rnacentral:rRNA from 1 species
AUACGUAGGUGGCAAGCGUUGUCCGGACUUACUGGGUGUAAAGGGCGUGUAGCCGGGUGUGCAAGUCAGAUGUGAAAUCUGGAGGCUCAACCUCCAAACUGCAUUUGAAACUGUGCAUCUUGAGUAUCGGAGAGGUAAUCGGAAUUCCUUGUGUAGCGGUGAAAUGCGUAGAUAUUAGGAGGAACACCAGUGGCGAAGGCGACUUACUGGACGAUAACUGACGCUGAGGCUCGAAAGCGUGGGGAGC